UCCGGAUCCACCCUUACACUACUACCAAACUGAAAAACAUGCGACAAUGAUAGGAAAAAUCCAAAUGAAAAUUGUUGUUUCUUACUAUCUUCAAUAGUUGAGAAGGGUCCACCCCUCACCCUACUAGCAUUUGAUGGGGAUCCCUUGCCCUAAAAUCAUGCAAUUACAUGUUUUUAAUUUUGACAAUAGGCAUGUGGUUCAUCUAAGAUUGGAUUAAAUGAGGUCGUCAGCGAUUUAGAACGUUCAAUUAAGAUCAGAUAGUUGUUUAAUAUAAACUUGUAAGAUAAUGUAUGAACCGUUUAAUCAAGAUUGUAUGGUCUAAAACUCACGACUUUACCAAUUUUUAAAUUAAUUGAAUUUAUGCCCAAUUCAACUACAAUUAUGUAGAUUUCAACAAUUUCAUAUAGUAUAAAAUCUCGACCAUUUAGUUUAACUCAGACGAUAUAAAUUUAUUACUUACAUCAUUCUAUUUUGGAGUGAAAUCCAAAUUCACUAGCAUUUGUGCAUACACAGAAAAAAAAUUGAGAUGUGUCCCA
rnacentral:lncRNA from 1 species